GACGAAGGAUGCAAGCGUUAUCCGGAUUCAUUGGGUUUAAAGGGCGCGUAGGCGGCCAACUAAGUCAGACGUGAAAAUCCCCUCGGCUCAACCGGGGAACUGCGUCUGAUACUGGAUGGCUUGAAAUUCGGGAGAGGGAUGCGGAAUUCCAGGUGUAGCGGUAGAAAAUGCGUAGAUAUCUGGAGGAACACCGGUGGCGAAGGCGGCAUCCUGGACCGAGAUUGACGCUGAUGCGCGAAAAGCCAGGGGAGCAAACGGGG
rnacentral:rRNA from 1 species